rfam:Geobacillus sp. B4113_201601 NODE_229, whole genome shotgun sequence.
CAAUGGGAUAGAGGUUGCGGUGAACAAAAGUAGCGCUGCCGAGGCUCGGAGCGGCUGAUGACGCAGCGGGAAAGGGUUCACCGCCGAAGUUUGCGGCGCGCUCCGGCGCCGCAAGCUGGGACUGCGGCCGAACAGGCGCAGGACUGCCAUCGCCUACGGCGAUGGAGCGCUAUCGCCAUU